CCCAAGAUUUUAGUUGUUGCUCCCAAGUUAAGGGGGGGGGGAUUAGCUUAAACAGGGGAACAGAUGCAACCCCUUAAGACAAGGACAAUUAACCCUUAAAGCCCAGGAGUGCCUACAAGAUCACCUUUAAAUUUAAGAGUUAGCCUUCACUUUUUACACACAGCCCCCCCCCCCUUAGCCUCCCUUUAAAAAAAGUGUCAAAGCAAGGUUUACUAAUUCACAUGUACAUAAACACACAAGUCCCAAACAAAUGACACACACACACUAGGAUGGGCUGUGUGUAGGGGAACUUCAGCUCUUGGGGUGUUAAAACAAACAAGGACAAACUAAACACAUUGGCACAACUAUGACUUUCACUGCCUAGUAGCCUCAAAUGAUUUUGGCAGCUGUCACUUUUGUUUAAAAUAAAUGUAAUAUAUAUAAAAAAAAAAAAGUUACAUGUAAACAUAUUUGGGGGAUAAAUAAAAUAAGGGGCCCUGCUAGAGGAGAGGCGGUGUAUUUUAAAAUACUAAGAGGAGGUGAGGGGUAUAGGUGGUGUAGUUUAGGAUACUAGGUGUAGGUAAAAGGUAUGGGUGAUUAUUUAAGAAUACUAAGAGAAUACUAAGAGUAUAUGAGAGGUAUAGGUGGUGCAUUUUAUUUAUUUUUGUAAACUAAGAGGUGAAAGGUAUAGGUAGUUAUUUUAAAAUACUAAGAGGAGGUAAGAGGUAUAGGUGGUGUAUUUUACAAAAUCUAAGAAGAAGUGGAAGGUAUAGGUGGUGUAUUUUUCAAAUUCUAAUAGAAGGUGGGAUGUAUAGGUGAAGUAUUUUAGAAAACAGAAAAGAUAUUAGAGGUAUAGGUGGUGUAUAGGUGGUGUAUUUUAGAAAACACAGAGAAGAUAUUAGAGGUAUGGGUGGUGUAUUUUAGAAAACACAGAGAAGAUAUUAGAGGUAUAGGUGGUGUAUUUUAGAAAACACAGAGAAGAUAUUAGAGGUAUAGGUGGUGUAUUUUAGAAAACACAGAGAAGAUAUUAGAGGUAUAGGUGGUGUAUUUUAGAAAACACAGAAAAGAUAUUAGAGGUAUAGGUGGUGUAAUUUAGAAAACUAACAGGAGGUAAGGGUGCAUUUUAGGCUUUUUUCUAUGCAGUGAAUGUCAUUUUUAAUGCAAUGGAUCAAGAAAAACAAAUGUACACUAGCAGCAAACAUUCAAGAAAAGUGUCAAAAAAAUAAAAAAUAAUAUUAAAUAAUAAUAAAAAAAAUGUAACCUAAGGUUUCAGGUGGAUAUUUCAAAAUAAGCUUUUUUUUCUGUUUUUUUAAACUGCCAUCUAAAUUCCAAAGUCGACUUUCACUUCUGUUUAUCAAGAGGUGUUAGGUAAUACACCAAAAAUUACAGUACAUUAAAUUAAAUUUACAGAAAUGAAACUUGCUAAAUGUGCAGAACUAUUUGCUUUGGGUAAGGGCUUUUAUUUUUAGUUUUUUGGGUAAGAAGAAAAAAA